rnacentral:rRNA from 1 species
UACAGAGGUGGCAAGCGUUGUUCGGAAUUAUUGGGCGUAAAGAGCUUGUAGGCGGUCUGUCGCGUCUGCUGUGAAAAUCCGGGGCUCAACCCCGGACCUGCAGUGGGUACGGGCAGACUAGAGUGUGGUAGGGGAGACUGGAAUUCCUGGUGUAGCGGUGAAAUGCGCAGAUAUCAGGAGGAACACCGAUGGCGAAGGCAGGUCUCUGGGCCACUACUGACGCUGAGAAGCGAAAGCAUGGGGAGCGAACAGG